rnacentral:rRNA from 1 species
GAACGCUGGCGGCGUGCCUAAUACAUGCAAGUCGAGCGAACAGAUGAGGAGCUUGCUCCUCUGACGUUAGCGGCGGACGGGUGAGUAACACGUGGAUAACCUACCUAUAAGACUGGGAUAACUUCGGGAAACCGGAGCUAAUACCGGAUAAUAUAUUGAACCGCAUGGUUCAAUAGUGAAAGACGGUUUUGCUGUCACUUAUAGAUGGAUCCGCGCCGCAUUAGCUAGUUGGUAAGGUAACGGCUUACCAAGGCAACGAUGCGUAGCCGACCUGAGAGGGUGAUCGGCCACACUGGAACUGAGACACGGUCCAGACUCCUACGGGAGGCAGCAGUAGGGAAUCUUCCGCAAUGGGCGAAAGCCUGACGGAGCAACGCCGCGUGAGUGAUGAAGGUCUUCGGAUCGUAAAACUCUGUUAUUAGGGAAGAACAAAUGUGUAAGUAACUAUGCACGUCUUGACGGUACCUAAUCAGAAAGCCACGGCUAACUACGUGC